UAGACCCUACGGGGGGCAGCAGUGGGGAAUAUUGCGCAAUGGGCGAAAGCCUGACGCAGCGACGCCGCGUGAGGGAUGAAGGUCUUCGGAUCGUAAACCUCUGUCAGCAGGGAAGAACGGUCACUGUGCUAAUCAGCAGUGAAUUGACGGUACCUGCAAAGGAAGCACCGGCUAACUCCGUGCCAGCAGCCGCAGUAAUACGGAGGGUGCGAGCGUUAAUCGGAAUUACUGGGCGUAAAGCGCUCGUAGGCGGUAUGUCAAGUCAAGUGAGAAAUCCCCGCGCUCGACG
rnacentral:rRNA from 1 species